GGGUUCCAAGAAUGAGAGGCUAGAACCCUGAGUGGCAGAUGAUGGUAGGGAUUCACACUCCAUCCCCAUUUCUAAGCAGCCCUAUUCCUAGCUGGAAGCAGCUGCCCUGGGCCCCAUGGAGAGGCAGGAAGGAGCUGCCAGUCACCACCUGUCACAGGACCAUGUGGGUGGCAAGAGGCAGUCCCCUCAUGCCCAGAUCCUUUCUCACAGGCUGGGGCAGAGCCCAAGGCCAGGAUAAAAGGGCCUUGGGGACUGAGGCCUUCCAUACACUCCUCUCCUGAGGUGCUGACGGACCUUGUGCUGCCUGUGCACCGCUCCUGACCCUGCCUGCAGAGAUGUCCUGCCAGCAGAACCAGCAGCAGUGCCAGCCCCCUCCCAAAUGCCCCCCCAAGUGUCCUGCCCCCAAGUGCCCCCCCAAGUGUCCCCCAAAGUGCCCUCCAGUCUCUUCCUGCUGUGGCUCCAGCUCUGGGGGUGGAGGCUGCUGUAGCUCUGGGGGCGGGGGCUGUUGUAGCUCUGGGGGUGGUGGCUGCUGUAGCUCUGGGGGUGGUGGCUGCUGUCUGAGCCACCACAGGCGACGCAGAUCCCACCGCCACAGGCACCAGAGCUCUGACUGCUGCAGCCAGCCCUUGGGGGGCUCCAGCUGCUGUGGAGGGAGCAGUCAGUCAUCUGGAGGCUGCUGCUGAAGUGGAUUCUGAGCCAAGAAGAGCAGAUUUGGGGGCAGCCAAUGCCAAAUCCUUCCUCCUGCUCCUGCUCCUCCUGCUGGACCUACCCAUGUGGCUGAGGGGUCUGACCUCUGGCCCAGAGGAUCGCUGUGUCCUGGUGUCCGGAAGCCAGAACUUCCCCGAACCCAUUCACUCACCUUCUCGCCCAAAUGUGUGGCUGCCCUGGGAACCCAGAGUACAGACCCAACGUCCUUCUUCUGCUUACCUUGUGGCAAACCCAGCCUAAUGGGAAACAAUAAAACUAGAACUCUUCGUUCCUUC